rnacentral:rRNA from 1 species
UACGUAGGGGGCAAGCGUUGUCCGGAUUUAUUGGGCGUAAAGAGCGUGUAGGCGGCUAGAUAGGUCCGUUGUGAAAACUCGAGGCUCAACCUCGAGACGUCGAUGAAAACCAUCUGGCUAGAGUCCGGAAGAGGAGAGUGGAAUUCCUGGUGUAGCGGUGAAAUGCGCAGAUAUCAGGAAGAACACCCGUGGCGAAGGCGGCUCUCUGGUACGUGACUGACGCUGAGACGCGAAAGCGUGGGGAGCAAACAGG